rnacentral:rRNA from 1 species
UGAGGAAUAUUGGUCAAUGGUCGCUAGACUGAACCAGCCAAGUAGCGUGCGGGAUGAAGGCCCUCCGGGUCGUAAACCGCUUUUAGACGGGGAUAGAAGGGCGUACGUGUACGCCGUAUUGCAUGUACCGUCAGAAAAAGGACCGGCUAAUUCUGUGCCAGCAGCCGCGGUAAUACGGAAGGUCCGGGCGUUAUCCGGAUUUAUUGGGUUUAAAGGGAGCGUAGGCGGACUUUCAAGUCAGUGGUAAAAUCGUGUGGCUCAACCAUACCUCGCCAUUGAAACUGGAAGUCUGGAGUGCACACAGGGGUGCCGGAAUUCAUGGUGUAGCGGUGAAAUGCUUAGAUAUCAUGAAGAACUCCGAUCGCGAAGGCAAGUGCCCGGGGUGCAACUGACGCUGAGGCUCGAAGGUGCGGGUAUCGAACAGGAUUAGAUACC